rnacentral:rRNA from 1 species
GACGAACGCUGGCGGCGUGCUUAACACAUGCAAGUCGAACGGAAAGGCCCUGCUUUUGUGGGGUGCUCGAGUGGCGAACGGGUGAGUAACACGUGAGUAACCUGCCCUUGACUUUGGGAUAACUUCAGGAAACUGGGGCUAAUACCGGAUAGGAGCUCCUGCUGCAUGGUGGGGGUUGGAAAGUUUCGGCGGUUGGGGAUGGACUCGCGGCUUAUCAGCUUGUUGGUGGGGUAGUGGCUUACCAAGGCUUUGACGGGUAGCCGGCCUGAGAGGGUGACCGGCCACAUGAGGACGGAGAUACGGCCCAGACGCCAACGGGAGGCAGCAGUGGGGAAUAUUGCACAAUGGGCGGAAGCCUGAUGCAGCAACGCCGCGUGCGGGAUGACGGCCUUCGGGUUGUAAACCGCUUUCGCCUGUGACGAAGCGUGAGUGACGGUAAUGGGUAAAGAAGCACCGGCUAACUACGUG